GAGCAAAAGAAAAAAAUUCCAAAUGGUAAACCUAUACUGUUCCUUCUCUCUGUGUGUGAAAAAGUAGUAGCUUAAGAACACCAGAGAUGUUGACACCUGAGGGUAAAUAGUAAUGAUUAACCUGUGACACCACAAACUCCACUGCUUCUUUGUGUGUGUCUGGAAAAGGAGGUGUGUGAUAACCUAGAAAGUAUUGGGGGUAGUAUAAGGGUCGGUAAUCACUGGCUCCUUUUUUUUUUUUUUUACAAACAUUACAAAAUGUAUCUCACGUAGCUUUGUAUUAAUUGGUUUGUUCAUUUGUGUUGUUGCUGCCUUAACCCACCAUCAUUUGCAUAGCCAGAUUAGAAGUAUCAUAAAAAUCACGUCUUCAAAGCGUGGGGCUCUCUUCUGAUGCCCAGUGAAGACCUUUUGUCUUCUUCUGUGAGGUUUGUUUCAACUUUCAGUGGUGCUUCAGUCCAAGCACUCUGAUAGAAGAUUAGGAUAUGUAUCAAUGUUCACCUGUGCCAAGGAAGAUCAGCACGCCUGCACGGGGUCAACCGCUUUUUUCCCUGGAUAAGAUCUCUCCUGCACCUUGUGGCAUAAAUCCAUUCUGGCUUUCCUUCCACCUUCAGGGCGGUUCUUGUGGUUAACAGCACUUGGCAUACGAUGCGCCUAUAUACCAACAACUGACUUACCACAGUAAUUCCUGUAGUGAACCAUUGGGUUCACACACCUCCCAUUUCCUAAAAGUAUGAGACCUUGUGCAACCUAGGAUAACCCAUGGAGGAGAGACUUGGAACGUAAACAACCCAAAGGAGCAGUUAGUAGGAGUAAUGUGUUUCUGUGUGUGUUAUUAAAGAGGCUGCUCCAUGA